UUGUAUGCUUUUCUCUGAGACAAGACAAGUCAAGACCUCACAGUGCAUCAAAGGAAUUACCACAAUUAUAAUUGCUCCUGUCUGGUAAGUGCCAGCAUUAUCCUGUAACCUGAAUUAAGAAACCUAAUGUUUAUCUACAUAGUGGUUGCUGAUGGCAAAGUCAACUCUUCUUUUCUUUUGCUAUUUUGUUUUGUAUUUUUCUUUCUCUGUUUAUUUGUUUCUUUGUGGCAGGUUCUCAUGCAACCCAGGCUGGUGCUGAACUUGCUAUGUAACUCAGGAGAACCUUGAUCCUCCCUUCUUUUUCUCCAAGUACGAGAACUACAGGUGUUUAGCAUCACUCUCAGCAAACACAGCUUUUCAGUGCACAUUGUUGCAGCUGCUGAGAUGCCCUGUUGCAUGUUCGCUAUGUACAGUGAGUGUCUUACUUGGAUACCCAGGAUGCUGUUGAACUGGCCCUGCAGCCCAAGCAGGCUUGAAACAUAGUUUGUGAACACGAGCCUCAUAGACAGCUGAGUUGAUGAAGUUGCCUUGCAAGGUGCUGCUUAUGCUUUCUGGCAGAGACAGGUCAAGACUUCAAGGUGUCUCAAAGAGAUCUUCAAGAACACAAUUUUCCAUAUCUGGGAAAUUUCCAGAAUGAUUCUGACUCAGGAUGCAGGAUCAUCUUCUCCACAGGCACUCAGUAAAGGAAGUAAAUGAACUUUGCCAACAAUAUGUGCACUUCAGAUUCAUGCUAGUAUCCACAUGGAGCUAAGCAUUCCUGAUCAGUGGUAGCCACCAAGGGAAUGAACAGAACUUCUGGGUCAGUCCUGCUGUGGGCUUCAAUCAUAGCACAGGAUAUUUUAUCUUAUACAAGUAAGUGAUAAAGG